UACAGAGGUCUCAAGCGUUGUUCGGAUUCAUUGGGCGUAAAGGGUGCGUAGGCGGCGCGGUAAGUCGGGUGUGAAAUCUCGGGGCUUAACUCCGAAACUGCAUUCGAUACUGCCGUGCUUGAGGACUGGAGAGGAGACUGGAAUUUACGGUGUAGCGGUGAAAUGCGUAGAUAUCGUAAGGAAGACCAGUGGCGAAGGCGGGUCUCUGGUCCGGUUCUGACGCUGAGGCGCGAAAGCGUGGGGAGCAAACAGG
rnacentral:rRNA from 1 species